rnacentral:misc_RNA from 1 species
CAUUUGCUGAAAGAACAUGGCCAUCUGCUGGGUCAUUUGUGCAGUAGUUUGUAUAGGAAGGAUUGGUGCAGUUGGACCUCCAACACUCUGCGAAACUGGGGCCUCUCCUUGUACGUUAGCUGUAUCAGACUGCUCUACCGUUUUAUCCCCCUUGUCCAUAUCUAUUCAUAGGAUUUUUUUUUUCUAUUUCUUAUACGAGUCAC